GUGGGAGGGGGCUUGCCCCCGAUGGCGAUGGCUCAGUCAACAUCUCUGUAUCUGAACUACCGCAAUCGGGGGCAAGCCCCCUCCCAC
rnacentral:antisense_RNA from 1 species